rnacentral:tRNA from 1 species
AUAUAUAAAGUAAUAAUUUACAUUUAAUUUCGACUUAAAUUUUUGAUUUGUUUUAAAUCUAUAUAUA